CAAUGGCGCAUCGAAGCCAAAAUGUUAAAAUUGAUGAAUUUCGGCUUCAAAUAACUUUUGUUUUUAAGGCCAUCCUUUUAUAAUAUUUGGUAGGACUAAAUUUAUAGCCUUUAUCUAAAUUCCUACCGAAGCACUUUAUUCGAUUUCGUCUUUGAUCGCAGUAAAAAUGCAUUUGAAUAAGGCCACCAAAUACAGCGUUUCGAUGUCAACGCUAAUAAUAUAACGUUUAGCGUCUGAGGUUGCGGUCAAAAGAAAGAUGGAAUUAUCGACCAAGACACAGAAAUUGAGGAGAUUAGACGAAAAGGUAUGUUUGGCAUUUGUUUAUUGUAUUAUUUGUACGAAACAAGGGAUAAUAUAUUGAUAUGUUUUGAAAAGCAAGCGUGUGUACUUGUUGACUUGUAUAUUGUAUACAUUCUUGAGCGCUCAAGAACUAUAAUACCUAUAGCGGCCUAUGGCUACAAACCCUUUAAUUAACCCUAUAUUUUCGAAUUUGGAGGGUUUAAAACAAGCGAAAUAUGUUUAAAAUUACGAACAAUAAUGUGUUGUAUAUUAUAUUUUCACAUUGACAGUUGUCACACAGAUUUAUUAUAAGUAGAUUGCAAUGACUAGACAAUAUGCGAUGUUCCAUAGGUAAAUUCUACGUUUUGAGGGAUUUGUAAGUAAUCUUUGAGGGAACUGGCUCAGUGUUACAUUUCAGCACAUAACAUGCAAUUCUGACAUUGUAAACUCUGUUACUAUAUAAAUGUGAAGUUUUUUUAACUUUGAAGUUAGAAAAAUCUUUUGAAUAUUGAAACAAACCUAUAAUUGCUUGCAAAUUCAGGUAAACCACAGGCACAGCUGGCAGCAUGGCCUAGGUGUUGUAUUUGUACACAGACUUGAUUUAUAGUUUCAGCAAUCUAUGAACUCAUUGAGUCGCAUUGAGCCCUCGCCGUCCUGAUGGGCCCUACUUUAUUUAAUAUUUUACUUUGUCUAACGCCAGACGAUUUUACUUGUCAAGGGGAGAGUGCUGGCGCAGCUUAAUUGGUUAACUAGCCUAUACGUCUAUGUGUCUAGUUAGUGCAUUGAGUUACAUUGCACCCUAUGUUAUUAUUUUACUCUGUCAGUCUCUAUCUACCAGCAGACAAGUUAACUUGUCAACAGAGAGCGCUGGCGCUUAAUAGUUAACUAGCUUAUAUGUCUAUGUGUCUAGUUAAUCUAUUGAGUCGCACUGCGCCCCGAUGCGCCCUACUUUAUUAUUUUACUCUGUCUAACGGCGGACGAUUUUACUUGUCAAGGAGAGAGCACUGGUGCUUAAACGGCUUAAUGAUUAACUACCCUAUAUGUCUUUAUGUCUAGUUAGUGCAUUGACUCACAUUGCACCCUGAUGCACCCUAUUUUAUUAUUUUACUCUGUCAGUCUCUAUCUAACGGCAGACAAGUUAACUUGUCAACAGAGAGGGCUGGCGCUUAAUGGUUGACAAGCUUAUAUGUCUGUGUGUCUAGUUAACCCAUUGAGUCGCACUGCGCCCUGAUGCGCCCUACUUUAUUAUUUUACUCUGUCUAACGGCAGACCAUUUUACUUGUCAAGGGGAGAGCACUGGUGCUUAAACGACUUAAUGAUUAACUACCCUAUAUGUCUUUGUGUCUACUGUAGUUAUAGUGCAAUGAGUCACAUUGCACCCUGAUGCACCCUAUGUUAUUAUUUUACUCUGUCAGUCUCUAUCUAACGGCAGACAAGUUAACUUAACAGACGAUUUUACUUGUCAAGGGGAGAGGGCUGGCGCUUAAUGAUUUAAGUUCUGAAAGUAGCAAGGAGAACCACCCAUGUGAGGCUUAUGUUUUUAUAUACCAAGGAUACAGCCACAAUACAUCCAUGGAUUGUCGUUCCACCUUUUGUGUUAACUCAGUAAGCCGCAGUGUUUCCCAGUGUCACCAUCAGUCAUUUGCUUGUUUUGUAUAUGCGAUACUGAGUAGAUAUGUGAUGUGCCCCAAAGACAGUCGUGUUUACAGGCUAUACCCGUAGUAAUCGGGCUACUUUGUUAUUUCGGUCUUAUAUCAGUCAGAUAUUUAAAUUUACCCUUAAAGACAGUUACCGUACUGUAACAAUAUUGGGUUUAUCAGCUAUAGUGAUGCAAGAUUUUUAAUCUCUAAACCUUUACCAUUUUCUUCUAGGUCUUGCAAGGCAAAGUGUAUUUACUAAUGGCAGAAUAUUGUGAAAUAAUGUGUGACUGACUUUGGCUUAUUCCUGCCUACUAUACUGAACUAAAUGUGUAUUAAGAUUGACUAUGACUGUGAUAUUAACCCUGUUAGUAAUUGCCAAGUGCAAGUGAGGGUUGAUCUAAUUAAAAAUGUAUUAUUAUUUGAUUGCAAAUAGUGUUCUCAAUUAAAUUGUCAGG